GUCUGCUUGCCCUCUAGCUACUGUUAGGGUUUUUGCAAGCCUACUCGUCCAAUAUGGUCGUUGAAGCACGUAAAACAGCCACUUCCUGGAUUUAGACCAAUCAGCGUGCUCUCUGGGUUCUGCGCAAUUUUGCCGGGAAAACGGAAAUCGGCUCGGUGGAAGUUAUUAAACUCAAUGAGCCAAAGUGGCGGGAGAUUUUGUCAGCUCGGUACCGGAUCAGUGGGGUGUGCGCUGGAUUAAAGGGUAACUACUGACUGCUGUGUCUCAGGUAACUACUGACUGCUGUGUCUCAGGUAACUACUGACUGCUGUGUCUCAGGUAACUACUGACUGCUGUGUCUCAGAUAAAUGACAUGAAAUUACUGACUGCGGUGUCUCGGGUAACUACU
ensembl:lncRNA